rnacentral:misc_RNA from 1 species
AGAGAGAGAGAGAGAGAGAAUCAAGAAAGAGGCCCGUUUAUUUCCUCUUUCCCGCUCGCUCCCUAUCGCACAGAAGCUUAUACUGUAAUAGUAAUACAUAUCUCACUGACAUUAACAUCAGAGACUGGAGCUGGAGAAGAAAAGGAUAAUCUAUGGAGGACGGCGCAGGAAGAGGUUUGGAAUGCCAGAAGAUUAUGGAUAUGAAGGUGAAUAAUGGAAAUGGCUCAAAGAAGGCUAUUCCUUCUUGUUGCUUGAAGGCUAGAGCCUCUGCACCUGAGCUUGAUGCCAAAUGCCAUUCGACAGUUGUUUCUGGGUGGUUCUCAGAAUCUUAUUCCUGCUCUGGUAAAGGUAGCAAAAGGGUUUACUUCAACAACCCGAUGUGGCCUGGAGAAGCACAUUCAUUGGAGGCAAAGAACAUUUUGUACAAGGGAAAGUCAGAAUACCAAGAGAUCUUGGUUUUUGAGUCAUCUACAUAUGGAAAAGUGCUCGUUCUUGAUGGCAUUGUUCAGUUAACUGAGAAAGAUGAGUGUGCCUACCAGGAGAUGAUAGCUCAUCUUCCGCUUUGUUCAAUUCCAUCGCCCAAAUCUGUAUGCAUUACUUUCAUUCCAUCGUUAUGCUAAUGUCGUGCACUCCAGAGUUUCUUCAAUAGAGCAAUAUUCUCAUCUCGCCAUGUUAUUGAUAGAAACCUUUUUUUGACUUCUAUACUGUAUAUUUUGAAAUGCUAUAUUCUGUAGUCUUUAAAAGGAUAAGCAAAUUACAUUAGUGGUUUAAGAUAGCCUGUUGAUUUGUUGUAUCAAUUUUCCUGAGCUUGGCUUUCAACAAAUCCCUACUACCCUGUGAACUGGGUUUGCUAUAAAAGUUCAAUUUUGAAGGCCUUUAGUAAAAAAAGGAAUAAAGGAUGUUGAAUAAAAUUGCAUGAAGCCACAAUAUUAUUCAAAUUUACCAUGCUUUUUUAUAUGUUAUUGACAAUUAUUUUGAUUCAUGCUACUCUAUUGUUUGUCAUUUUACAUUAGAUUUUGUAUAAAAUUACAACUGUUGCUUUCAAUUGGAAACCACAUUAAGUCUUUUCAAAAACUAGUCUGCUUCUUAACUAUGCAUGGUCAAAUUAUUCUAUUCAGAGUUUAUCUAUGCUUAUUUCAUAUACAUGAUGUAGGUUCUCGUUGUUGGUGGUGGUGAUGGUGGGGUUCUUAGAGAAAUUUCUCGCCAUAGUUCUGUGGAGCUCAUUGAUAUUUGUGAGAUAGAUAAGAUGGUUAUAGACGUGUGCAAGGAAUAUUUUCCAGAAUUAUCUGUUGGAUUUGAGGACCCUCGUGUCCGACUACAUGUAGGUGAUGCUGUGGAAUUUCUUCGUCUUGCUCCUGAAGGGAAGUACGAUGCAAUUAUUGUUGAUUCAUCAGACCCUGUAGGUAUGUUGUAGAAUUUGAACUGUUGUAAUUCUCUUAUAAUUCGUAGGGUGCAUGUGUGAUUUGCUUAUUAUCACAAUGGGUGUGCCAUGUCUGUGUUGUAUCAAGUUAAGCUGUCGGCACCAAAGAGGAAAGGGGAUGUAUUGCCAAUAACCAUUAGCUGGGCACAUUUUCGCAAUUAUGGGAAUGAUGAUCUUUGUGCAAGUUUUGGUUUCUGAGAAUUUAUUUAAAGAUGUUUGGAACUGUCUAUGUGUUGAUGGUUCAAAAAUUCUAGGAAACUAGGUAAUGUAUUAGGCUUAGUUCAAGUUUCCUGGAUGUUGGCUUUAUGUUGAUCCAUAUAGCAUAUUUGAAAUUUGUUUUCAAAAACAUUAUGCAUAUGGAAAUAUUUCUCUUUAUGGUUUAGGUCCAGCUCAAGAGCUUGUGGAGAAGCCCUUUUUUCAGACAAUAGCUAAAGCAUUAAGGCCUGGUGGAGUCCUUUGUAAUAUGGCAGAAAGUAUGUGGCUUCAUACACAUCUUAUUCAGGAUAUGAUCUCUAUUUGCCGCGAAACAUUCAAGGGUUCUGUCCACUAUGCGUGGGCAAGUGUUCCAACAUAUCCAAGUGGUGUGAUUGGAUUUCUCAUAUGCUCAACAGAGGGGCCACCUGUUGAUUUCUUGAAUCCUGUCAAUCCUAUUGAGAAGUUAGAAGGAGCAGUCAAAUAUAAAAGAGAACUUAGGUUCUAUAACUCAGAGAUCCACUCAGCUGCAUUUGCAUUGCCAACAUUUUUGAAGAGGGAGGUGAGAUUGCUUCGUGAUUCUCCAAUCCCGACAGGAAGAAUUCACGUUUUGUAGUCUCUGCUUAUAAGAAUUUUAAGAUGAGUGAAACUAUUUGUUAAUGGGAAUUUGAUUCGAGGCAGGUGUCACGCAUAUAGUUGCAUGGGUGGGGUCAGUGGCUUUGCCUUGGACAUUUUGUGGAAGAUCUUAUUGAUUGUGAUGUAUUAUGGUUUCUAGGUACAUGUAACUAGCUGAUGAGUUAUUAGGUGAUAGCUACACGGUGUUUUGGCAGAUGAUGGCAGCUACCUCAUCAAGCGGAGUCAUAAAAAUCUGAUGCUUUCAGUUAUGUCGAUUAAGAAUCAAUGGCCAAUGAUAAUAAAUAAUAGUCGGCAGUAGAAUUACUUUGAG